rnacentral:tRNA from 1 species
CCCGCCUUAGCUCAGUGGCCAGAGCGCCCGACUGUAGUUUGCCCCUGCUGGUGAGCAGGUAUCGGGCGGUCCCCGGUUCAAAUCCGGGAGGCGGGA